rnacentral:snRNA from 1 species
AAAUGUGAGGGGUAAAAUGUGAUCUGGUUGCGACAUCUGUCACCCCAUUGAUCGUCAGGUAGAUUCGGCUGAUCUGUCUGGCUAGGCGGGUGUCCCCUUCCUCCCUCACCGCUCCAUGUGCAUCCCUCUCGAAGCUGAGUGCUCGGUGGAAGAGGAUGACAUCCCAGGUAUAGAAGGAAUAAACCAGGGCUCU